rnacentral:rRNA from 1 species
GACGAACGCUGGCGGCGUGCUUAACACAUGCAAGUCGAACGGAAGGACCCUGCUUGCAGGUUUCUCGAGUGGCGAACGGGUGCGUAACACGUGGGUGAUCUGCCCUGCACUUCGGGAUAAGCCUGUGAAACUGGGUCUAAUACCGGACAGGAGACAUUUUUAGUGUGAUGGUUGGAAAGUUUUUUCGGUGUAGGCUGAGCUGGAGGCCUAUCGGCUUGUUGGUGGGGUGAUGGACUACCAAGACGGCGACGGGCAGCCGGCCUGCGUAGGUGGACGGCCACCCUGGGACUUAGAGACGGCCCAGACUCGGAAGGGUGGCAGCAGGGGGGAAUACUGACGAAGGGGCGCAAGGUGGGUGCAGAGGCGCCGCGUGGGGGAUGACGGUGUUCGGGUUGAAAACUACUUUCGCUAGGGACGAAGCUUUUUGUGACGGUACCUAGAUAAGAAGCACCGGCUAACUACGUG